rnacentral:misc_RNA from 1 species
GAUGAAGAACGUAGCGAAAUGCGAUAAGUAAUGUGAAUUGCAGAAUUCAGUGAAUCAUCGAAUCUUUGAACGCACAUUGCGCCCGCCAGUAUUCUGGCGGGCAUGCCUGUUCGAGCGUCAUUUCAACCAUCAAGCCCCAGGCUUGUGUUGGAGCCCUGCGGCUGCCGCAGCCUACCAAAACCAGUGGCGGGCUCGCUAUCACACCGAGUGCAGUAGUUUACUCUUCGCUCAGGGCGUGUGGCGGGUGCUAGCCGUAAAACCCCCAACUUCUCAAGGUUGACCUCGGAUCAGGUAGGAAUACCCGCUGAACUUAAGCAUAUCAAUAAGCGGAGGA